GAAAGAGUCCAGCGAAGGGCAACAAAAAUGAUUAGGGGUAUGGAACAGCUUCUAUAUGGGGAGAGAUUCAAAAGACUGGAACUGUUCAUCUUAGAAAAGAGAUGACUAAGAGGGGAUAUGAUAGAGAUCUAUAAAAUCAUGAAUGUUGUGGAGAAAGUGAAUAAGGAAGUGUUAUUUACCCCUUCAUAU